CCCACAUCUCCAAAUCUUAAUUUGGUUAAUUUUGUCAAUAAAUUAAAAUGUAUGUAAUGUGCAUAUGUAUAUACAACUUUAGAAGAGUGUAUUUAUGUAUAUACACUUAUCUACACACACACACAUUCACACACACACACAAACACACCCCUACACAAAUCCCUGAAAAGGAUUCAAAUGUUCUCUCUCAGACUUAAAAGGCCAUUCCCUACUUCAAAGUUACAUUCAACACCACUAUGAUCC
rnacentral:lncRNA from 1 species